UACAGAGGGUGCGAGCGUUGUUCGGAAUUACUGGGCGUAAAGAGUGUGUAGGCGGUGCUCUAAGUUCGGUGUGAAAUCUCCUGGCUUAACUGGGAGGGUGCGCCGGAAACUGGAGUGCUCGAACGUGGGAGAGGAAAGCGGAAUUCCUGGUGUAGCGGUGAAAUGCGUAGAUAUCAGGAGGAACACCUGCGGUGUAGACGGCUUUCUGGACCAUUGUUGACGCUGAGACACGAAAGCGUGGGUAGCAAACAGG
rnacentral:rRNA from 1 species